rnacentral:pre_miRNA from 11 species
AUCCUGGGUUCUGUCCUCAGGAUCUCCCUCCCCGAAGUAAUGAAAGACCCCCAGAGUGGGGAGACCCUCACUCAAGUCUCGGGAUAAGCCGACGCCCCAAUAAUUCAAGAGAGACC